rnacentral:rRNA from 1 species
AGGUCCGUAGCAAUACGGAUGCUGGCGACCGGCAAACGGGUGCGGAACACGUACACAACCUUCCUUUAAGCGGGGAAAGCCCGGGGAAACCCGGAUUAAUACCCCAUAGUAUAUUGAAGAGGCAUCUCUUUACUAUUAAAGAUUUAUCACUUGAAGAUGGGUGUGCGGCUGAUUAGCUAGUUGGCGGGGUAACGGCCCACCAAGGCAACGAUCAGUAACUGGUGUGAGAGCACGACCAGUCACACGGGCACUGAGACACGGGCCCGACUCCUACGGGAGGCAGCAGUAAGGAAUAUUGGUCAAUGGACGAAAGUCUGAACCAGCCAUGCCGCGUGGAGGAUGAAGGUCCUCUGGAUUGUAAACUUCUUUUAUAUGGGACGAAAAAAGGCCUUUCUAGGUCGUCUGACGGUACCAUAUGAAUAAGCACCGGCUAACUCCGUGCCAGCAGCCGCGGUAAUACGGAGGGUGCAAGCGUUAUCCGGAUUCACUGGGUUUAAAGGGUGCGUAGGUGGGUUGGUAAGUCAGUGGUGAAAUCCCCGAGCUUAACUUGGGAACUGCCAUUGAUACUAUCAGUCUUGAAUACCGUGGAGGUCAGCGGAAUAUGUCAUGUAGCGGUGAAAUGCUUAGAUAUGACAUAGAACACCAAUUGCGAAGGCAGCUGGCUACACGAAUAUUGACACUGAGGCACGAAAGCGUGGGGAUCAAACAGGAUUAGAUACCCUGGUAGUCCACGCCCUAAACUAUGGAUACUCGACAUACGCGAUACACUGUGUGUGUCUGAGCGAAAG